rnacentral:rRNA from 1 species
AACGAACGCUGGCGGCAGGCUUAACACAUGCAAGUCGAACGAGACCUUCGGGUCUAGUGGCAGACGGGUGAGGAACACGUGGGAACAUCCCUUUCAGUUCGGAAUAACGUUGGGAAACUAACGCUAAUACCGGAUACGUCCUUCGGGAGAAAGAUUUAUCGCUGAAAGAUUGGCCCGCGUCUGAUUAGCUAGUUGGUGAGGUAAUGGCUCACCACGUCUACGAUCAGUAGCUGAUCUGAGAGGAUUAUCAGCCACAUUGGGACUGAGACACGGCCCAAACUCCUACGGGAGGCAGCAGUGGGGAAUAUUGGACAAUGGGCGCAAGCCUGAUCCAGCCAUGCCGCGUGAGUGAUGAAGGCCUUCGGGUUGUAAAGCUCUUUUGUCCGGGAAGAUAAUGACUGUACCGGAAGAAUAAGCCCCGGCAAACUUCGUGCCAGCCGCCGCCGUAA